rnacentral:rRNA from 1 species
ACGAACGCUGGCGGCGUGCUUAACACAUGCAAGUCGAGCGGUAAGGCCCUUUCGGGGGUACACGAGCGGCGAACGGGUGAGUAACACGUGGGUGACCUGCCUUUAGCUCUGGGAUAAGCCUGGGAAACUGGGCCUAAUACCGGAUAUGACCCUAUGGCGCAUGUUGUGGGGUGGAAAGCCUUGUGCGGCUAGGGAUGGGCCCGCGGCCUAUCAGCUUGUUGGUGGGGUGAUGGCCUACCAAGGCGACGACGGGUAGCCGGCCUGAGAGGGCGACCGGCCACACUGGGACUGAGACACGGCCCAGACUCCUACGGGAGGCAGCAGUGGGGAAUCUUGCGCAAUGGGCGAAAGCCUGACGCAGCGACGCCGCGUGAGGGAUGACGGCCUU